rnacentral:rRNA from 1 species
UAUGGAGAGUUUGAUCCUGGCUCAGGACGAACGCUGGCGGCGUGCUUUACACAUGCAAGUCGAGCGAUGAGAUCCCUUCGGGGAAGGAUUAGCGGCGAACGGGUGAGGAACACGUGAGGAAUCUGCCUUCAACACUGGGAUAACUCCGGGAAACCGGGGCUAAUACCGGAUACGAGACCUGCAGGCAUCUGCGGGUCUGGAAAGUUUUUCGGUUGAAGAUGACCUCGCGGCCUAUCAGCUUGUUGGUGAGGUAAUGGCUCACCAAGGCGACGACGGGUAGCCGGCCUGAGAGGGCGACCGGCCACACUGGGACUGAGACACGGCCCAGACUCCUACGGGAGGCAGCAGUGGGGAAUAUUGGGCAAUGGAGGAAACUCUGACCCAGCGACGCCGCGUGCGGGAUGAAGGCCUUCGGGUUGUAAACCGCUUUCAGCAAGGAAGAAGCGAAAGUGACGGUACUUGCAGAAGAAGCACCGGCUAACUAUGUGCCAGCAGCCGCGGUAAUACAUAGGGUGCAAGCGUUGUCCGGAAUUAUUGGGCGUAAAGAGCUCGUAGGUGGUUCGUCACGUCGGAUGUGAAAAUCUGGGGCUUAACCCCAGACCUGCAUUCGAUACGGGCGAGCUAGAGUGUGGUAGGGGAGACUGGAAUUCCUGGUGUAGCGGUGGAAUGCGCAGAUAUCAGGAGGAACACCAAUGGCGAAGGCAGGUCUCUGGGCCAUUACUGACACUGAGGAGCGAAAGCGUGGGGAGCGAACAGGAUUAGAUACCCUGGUAGUCCACGCCGUAAACGGUGGGCACUAGUUGUGGGAACCUUCCACGGUUUCUGCGACGCAGCUAACGCAUUAAGUGCCCCGCCUGGGGAGUACGAUCGCAAGAUUAAAACUCAAAGGAAUUGACGGGGCCCCGCACAAGCAGCGGAGCAUGCGGCUUAAUUCGACGCAACGCGAAGAACCUUACCAAGGCUUGACAUAU